rnacentral:rRNA from 1 species
ACGAACGCUGGCGGCAUGCCUCACACAUGCAAGUCGAACGCGACCUUCGGGUCUAGUGGCGCACGGGUGCGUAACGCGUGGGAGCCUGCCCUUAGGUUCGGAAUAACUCCCCGAAAGGGGUGCUAAUACCGGAUAAUGUCUUCGGACCAAAGAUUUAUCGCCUUUGGAUGGGCCCGCGUUGGAUUAGCUAGUUGGUAGGGUAAAAGCCUACCAAGGCGACGAUCCAUAGCUGGUCUGAGAGGAUGAUCAGCCACACUGGGACUGAGACACGGCCCAGACUCCUACGGGAGGCAGCAGUGGGGAAUAUUGGACAAUGGGCGAAAGCCUGAUCCAGCAAUGCCGCGUGAGUGAUGAAGGCCUUAGGGUUGUAAAGCUCUUUUACCCGGGAUGAUAAUGACAGUACCGGGAGAAUAAGCUCCGGCUAACUCCGUG